GGAUGCGAUCAUACCAGCACUAAAGCACCGGAUCCCAUCAGAACUCCGAAGUUAAGCGUGCUUGGGCGAGAGUAGUACUAGGAUGGGUGACCUCCUGGGAAGUCCUCGUGUUGCAUUCU
rnacentral:rRNA from 3 species